rnacentral:snoRNA from 1 species
CUUGUGAAAUGAUGACGGUUCUUGAGCUAAUUUAUUGAAAAUUUGUUUUAAUGAAAACGAAACUCUUAUAAACGAUUUGCACGUCAGUCUGAUCCCAUU